rnacentral:rRNA from 1 species
UACGGAGGGUGCAAGCGUUGUCCGGAUUUAUUGGGUUUAAAGGGUGCGUAGGCGGCCCGUUAAGUCAGUGGUGAAAUCCCAGGGCUCAACCCUGGAACUGCCAUUGGUACUGACGGGCUUGAGUUCGGUUAAGGCGGGCGGAACUGGUGGUGUAGCGGUGAAAUGCAUAGAUACCACCAAGAACCCCGAUUGCGUAGGCAGCUCGCUGAGCCGAAACUGACGCUGAGGCACGAAAGCGUGGGGAGCGAACAGG